rnacentral:rRNA from 1 species
CGCGUGAAGUAGACCGCCUGGGGAGUACGGUCGCAAGACUAAAACUCAAAUGAAUUGACGGGGGUCCGCACAAGCGGUGGAUUAUGUGGAUUAAUUCGAUGCAACGCGAAAAACCUUACCUGGCCUUGACAUGUACCGAAUUUACCAGAGAUGGUUUAGUGCUCGAUAGAGAACGGUAACACAGGUGCUGCAUGGCUGUCGUCAGCUCGUGUCGUGAGAUGUUGGGUUAAGUCCCGCAACGAGCGCAACCCUUGCCAUUAAUUGCCAUCAUUUAGUUGGGCACUUUAAUGGGACUGCCGGUGACAAACCGGAGGAAGGUGGGGAUGACGUCAAGUCCUCAUGGCCCUUAUGGCCAGGGCUUCACACGUAAUACAAUGGUCAGUACAGAGGGUUGCCAACCCGCGAGGGGGAGCCAAUCCCAGAAAGCCGAUCGUAGUCCGGAUUGUAGUCUGCAACUCGACUACAUGAAGUCGGAAUCGCUAGUAAUCGCGGAUCACCAUGUCGCGGUGAAUACGUUCCCGG